GAUGAAGAACGCAGCGAAUUGCGAUAAGUAAUGUGAAUUGCAGAAUUCAGUGAAUCAUCGAAUCUUUGAACGCACAUUGCGCCCGCCAGUAUUCUGGCGGGCAUGCCUGUUCGAGCGUCAUUACAACCCUCAGGCCCCCGGGCCUGGCGUUGGGGAUCGGCGGAAGCCCCCUGCGGGCACAACGCCGUCCCCCAAAUACAGUGGCGGUCCCGCCGCAGCUUCCAUUGCGUAGUAGCUAACACCUCGCAACUGGAGAGCGGCGCGGCCACGCCGUAAAACACCCAACUUCUGAAUGUUGACCUCGAAUCAGGUAGGAAUACCCGCUGAACUUAAGCAUAUCAAUAAGCGGAGGA
rnacentral:misc_RNA from 1 species